CUAGCUGACUUCUCUUUUCUUGAAAGUGGAACAAAUAUGCAACCACGCUCCAGUUUUUUUGUUUUUGUUUUUUUUUAAGUUGAAGAUAAAAAGGCAUUACGUACCAGCUGAGAGAAUGCCACACUGAUGUUCCAAUGUAAAAGAAAACAAUGUUGAGACAAUGGCAUUAAACUCAGGAUACCACGGAGUCUGUUGGGCCUCAAUCAGAGGCCCCAUUCUUUCAUUUGUUAUGUAGACUCCAUGCACGAAUUGUGUCAACGAUUUCAUAAUUCAGAUAACGAAACAAAAGGAAACACAAGUAAGGUGUCAGGCAUUCAAAUUCUGCCCUGCUCUGUGGAGAAACUGGAGUAUCUGAAUUUCAAGAUACUUAAGACACCAAACUCAAGAAGCCCGCCUGCUUCUCAUUCACCUGGACCUCUGCGCACAGCAAAGAGCCAGUCAGUGUUGGAAGAGAUAAAACCAAACCGAGGGUUCUCAGCCUUGGCUGCACGUUAGAAUCAGCUGUGGACCUUCUAACGCUCCUGAUGCCCAAACCUUUCCACCUCACUAUAUCUGGGGUGAAUGCAGGCCUCAGGAUUUUUUUUUUUUUUUUUUUUUUACAGUUCUCCAGGUGACUCCAGUGUGCAGCCGGGAUUGAGAACCACUGCUGAAGACCCUCCCCAUUUCUGGUCUUGCCCUGGGCCACCCAGCACUCCCCACUGCUGUUCUCUGCGCUCCUCGUUGGCGAACUGGAGAAGAAAGAGGUCAGGCAGUGGGAUACCAAAGUCUUGUCUAGCAGCUACUGACUCUGUCGCCAGAACGGAAUAGCUUAACAGUCACCACUGAAGCCUUGAGCCCCCUUAAACCACGGGUCCUCAAACUUUAGCUUCAGAAUCACCUGGAAAGUUUCUCAAACACAGAAUGGUGACCACCACUCCCGGAAUUUCUGCUUUAGUAGGUCUGGGAUGAAGCUAAAACGUUUCAUUUCUAACAAAAUGCGGUGGCUGCUGGCCUGGAGUCCAUGCUUUGAGAGCCAUUGGUCUAAGUUGUGCUUAGUUAUUAGUGAUGCCUCUUGUCCACAACAUUUACCAUGCACCCACAUCAGCUGGUGGGUUUUAAGCUCUGUCCAAAUCAGUGAGGGUAUCUAUAGCGGCUGUGCCUCGGCAUGUUUUAAAAGCUCCCCGAGUGAUUUCAGUAAGCAUGCCAGGCUGAGAGUUACUGAGUUAAACUGUAAUUCAAUUGACUUUAUUUUAAUUUGUUGUUACUAAGCUUUAAAGGAGGGGUGCCUGGGGGGCUCAGUCGGUUAAGCGUCUGACUUCAGUUCAGGUCAUGAUCUCAUGGCUCAUGAGUUCAAGCCCUGCGUCCGGCUCUGUGCUGACAGUUCGGAGCCUGGAGCCUGCUUCGGAUUCUGUUUCCGUUUCUCUCUGCCCCUCCCUCACUCACAAUCUGUGCGUCUCUCUCUCAAAAAUAGAUAUUAAAAAAAAAAAAAAAGAUGAGCGGAGACCCUAUACAGAAAGAAGCCUCUGAGAGCAAAAUUAAUAGGAAUAGGCAUCCAUCAGAUGGUCUAUCUCUUCUGUGCUGGUGUCUGUUUACAAAUCAGUUGUUCAGCAUCUGUGGAAUCGGACUGCGAUGGGCCAUGGAACAAAUGGGAACCAAUGACGUACCAGGCUCAUCCGACUGCAACCUGUCUGUGGGAGGGUGAUUGUGUUGGAUGCAGGGAGACACCAGGGCCAAGUGGAUGGACGAUGCUCCUUGGUGUUGGGCCACUGGGAUAUCAGCCUGCAUGGACCACAGGUGGGUUUCUGAAGUGUUCUGCCUUUCUCCCAUUUGCUUGGAUUCAAAACAGUACUAACCUAUUGUUUAUCAUCUGAGAGUACUUCAUUCAGGUACUUUUUUUUUUUUAAUGUUUCUUUAUUUGUGAGGGAGAGAGAGAGCGAGCAGGGGAGAGGCAGAGGGGUUGGGGGGACAGAGGACCUGAAAAGAGCUCUGCACUGACAGCAGAGAGAGAGCCCAAUGAGGGGCUCGAACUCACAAACCGUGAGAUCAUGACCUGAGCCAAAGCCAGACGCUUAACCAAGUGAGCCCCCAGGCGCCCCCACAUACUUGUUUAUUGUCUGAUGCCUCCACAGUUUGGUGCCUUUUGUAUCCCUAGCACCUGUAACCCUGUCUGCCAGCGGGUAAAAGUUGUUUAGGAAAUGUAAAUAGGCCAUGUUAGUCUGAGAGAAAAUGCGGGGACAUCUCUUACCUUUUUAUCAAGAAUAUAAUGUCCUCCUGCCUCUAUCCACCCUCUUCCAGGAAUACACAGUGUACAUUCUUAGUCACAGAGAGAAACACGGAUCUAAGGUGGUCUUCUUAAAAAGUUAUCUAGGGGCGCCUGGGUGGCUCAGUCGGUUGGGCGUCCGACUUCAGCUCAGGUCAUGAUCUCACGGUCCGUGAGUUCGAGCCCCGCGUCGGGCUCUGGGCUGAUGGCUCAGAGCCUGGAGCCUGCUUCCGAUUCUGUAUCUCCUUCUCUCUCUCUGCCCCUCCCCUGUUCAUGCUCUGUCUCUCUCUGUCUCAAAAAUAAAUAAACGUUAAAAAAAAAAUUUUUUUUUAAGUUAUCUAAAUUUCAAAGAAAGCACUGGAAAAUGAGAGGAACUGUUGAACGCAAAGUUAAAAAUACUGAAUGAUAAAAUUUCAUGUUCCUAGUUUUUGUUUUGUUUGGGUGGGGGGAUUCCAGUGUUUCCCAUGGUUUCCCACAUGUAAAGGCUGGGUGACCUAAUUCUCUCUGGGGACAAGACUAGGGAAAUGGAGAGAUUGUGGUUGUCAUUGUAAGCUCUGUUGUACUAUUUGACCAUUUUGAUUAAGUGGAAAUACUCACCUAAUGUAUUUUCCUGACAUAUUUACCUGAAGAAGGUAUGAUCAGGUUAACUAUGGUUGAACAGAUGCAAGACAAUAGCGCCGAAGGGUGAGGGCGGGUUUUAACUGUCAAAGGGCAGUUCAGAGGCACCAGGGUGGCUCAGUCAGUUACCUGUCUGUCUUUGGCUCGAUGGUGAUCUUGCAGUUCAUGGGUUCAAGCCCCACAUCAGGCUCUGCAUUAUCAGUGCAUUAUCUGCACUGCAUUAUCAGUGCAGAGCCUGCCUGGGAUUUUCGCUCUCCCUCUCUCUCUGCCCCUCCCCCACUCAUGCUUGCAUGCUCUAAAUAAACAAAUAAACUGUAAAAAAAAAAAAAGGAAAGAAAGAAAAAAAGUAAA